rnacentral:rRNA from 1 species
UACGUAGGGUGCAAGCGUUGUCCGGAAUUAUUGGGCGUAAAGAGCUCGUAGGCGGUCUGUCACGUCGGCUGUGAAAACCCGAGGCUCAACCUCGGGCCUGCAGUCGAUACGGGCAGACUAGAGUUCGGUAGGGGAGACUGGAAUUCCUGGUGUAGCGGUGAAAUGCGCAGAUAUCAGGAGGAACACCGAUGGCGAAGGCAGGUCUCUGGGCAUUAACUGACGCUGAGGAGCGAAAGCAUGGGGAGCGAACAGG